GCGUCUUGGGUAGCUCUACAUGCAGUCGACGAGUUCUCGUUGAUGAUCGGUGCUUGCACCGAGAUUCAACAUGGAACGAGUGGCGGACGGGUGAGUAACACGUGGGUAACCUGCCCUUAAGUGGGGGAUAACAUUUGGAAACAGAUGCUAAUACCGCAUAGAUCCAAGAACCGCAUGGUUCUUGGCUGAAAGAUGGCGUAAGCUAUCGCUUUUGGAUGGACCCGCGGCGUAUUAGCUAGUUGGUGAGGUAAUGGCUCACCAAGGCGAUGAUACGUAGCCGAACUGAGAGGUUGAUCGGCCACAUUGGGACUGAGACACGGCCCAAACUCCUACGGGAGGCAGCAGUAGGGAAUCUUCCACAAUGGACGCAAGUCUGAUGGAGCAACGCCGCGUGAGUGAAGAAGGCUUUCGGGUCGUAAAACUCUGUUGUUGGAGAAGAAUGGUCGGCAGAGUAACUGUUGUCGGCGUGACGGUAUCCAACCAGAAAGCCACGGCUAACUACGUGCCAGCAGCCGCGGUAAUACGUAGGUGGCAAGCGUUAUCCGGAUUUAUUGGGCGUAAAGCGAGCGCAGGCGGUUUUUUAAGUCUGAUGUGAAAGCCCUCGGCUUAACCGAGGAAGCGCAUCGGAAACUGGGAAACUUGAGUGCAGAAGAGGACAGUGGAACUCCAUGUGUAGCGGUGAAAUGCGUAGAUAUAUGGAAGAACACCAGUGGCGAAGGCGGCUGUCUGGUCUGUAACUGACGCUGAGGCUCGAAAGCAUGGGUAGCGAACAGGAUUAGAUACCCUGGUAGUCCAUGCCGUAAACGAUGAAUGCUAGGUGUUGGAGGGUUUCCGCCCUUCAGUGCCGCAGCUAACGCAUUAAGCAUUCCGCCUGGGGAGUACGACCGCAAGGUUGAAACUCAAAGGAAUUGACGGGGGCCCGCACAAGCGGGUGGAGCAUGUGGGUUUAAAAGCGGUGGAGCAUGUGGUUUAAUUCGAAGCAACGCGAAGAACCUUACCAGGUCUUGACAUCUUUUGAUCACCUGAGAGAUCAGGUUUCCCCUUCGGGGGCAAAAUGACAGGUGGUGCAUGGUUGUCGUCAGCUCGUGUCGUGAGAUGUUGGGUUAAGUCCCGCAACGAGCGCAACCCUUAUGACUAGUUGCCAGCAUUUAGUUGGGCACUCUAGUAAGACUGCCGGUGACAAACCGGAGGAAGGUGGGGAUGACGUCAAAUCAUCAUGCCCCUUAUGACCUGGGCUACACACGUGCUACAAUGGAUGGUACAACGAGUUGCGAGACCGCGAGGUCAAGCUAAUCUCUUAAAGCCAUUCUCAGUUCGGACUGUAGGCUGCAACUCGCCUACACGAAGUCGGAAUCGCUAGUAAUCGCGGAUCAGCACGCCGCGGUGAAUACGUUCCCGGGCCUUGUACACACCGCCCGUCACACCAUGAGAGUUUGUAACACCCGAAGCCGGUGGCGUAACCCUUUUAGGGAGCGAGCCGUCUAAGGUGGGACAAAUGAUAAGGGUGAAGUCGUAGCGAGAGGUCAGCC
rnacentral:rRNA from 2 species